GCGUCCAGGAAGGAAGUGACAGAAGACGAAUGGGAAAAGGAGAACAGCUCACAGCGUUUGAAACAUCGCGGCACCACUUUCAGAUAAAAACAUAGACCUGAAUGGCAUCAUCCAGUAUCCAAGGAAACCAUGCAGUUUUGAACAUCUGGAGGCCUGAUUUAUUGGAGAUUGCAAAUGUACGGUGUAACAUAGCUGUGGAGAGCGAGAAGAUCAGGAUUGUCAAUGCUGUCAUUGCUUUUACUGGAAUCCCCAGCACGAAUUGAAGGUUUGACCAGGGACAAAGAAGCAAAUGCUAUCAAUUAACAUUCACAUGUGGUAGGAAUUCUACUAGUGCAUGUGGAGAGAAACAUGGCUGCUGCAUGGAGUCAUAAACCUCAGAGGAAGCUGAGAAUGAGAUGAAAUGUAUAUGUAACCCUUGUGUAUGGCAAGUUUGGCAAGAAAUAAAAAGCAUACUUGGCAGAUUAAGAUAAGGUUUCUCUCUGUUUACUGAUAUAGUCUCAGGUUUGCAUUGUGUGAUGAAUAAUAGGUUGGGGGAAGAUAUCCUUUGUUUAUUCAUUCAUUUCAUCAACAAAUAUUUAAUGAGUACCUACUAUAUGCCAUGCCACAAAGAGUAUAAACCUAGAGACAGAAUGUUGAGUCACAUAGACAGUGCUCCUGAUACAAUUAUUUGAACUGAGUUAACAAUACUUCAAGGUUCCAUGUCUAAUUUACUGGCUAGGUUCUCAACAAAAUUUCUGGAUA
rnacentral:antisense_RNA from 1 species